AUUGCUCCAAAUGCUCUGAAAGGAAACCAUGCUAUAAUGGAUUUUAAAAUGAAGUUAAGUAUUAUAUCCAGACUAUGGAAAAAGGUUACUAAAAGUAACUACUAACUAGUUACUAAUUAAAGUUGACCUGCUUUUAAUGAAUGUACUGGUGGAACCCUAGUUUUUCUUGAGGCAUACAAAUGUUUGACUCAGUGAAGUUCAUCAUGUCUGGUUUUAUGACAGGUGUGUCGGGUUGGCAGGUUGGUUCCUGCAGCUGAGCAGGAUGUUGACUCCUGGGCGGUCCAACCGGUUCACCAAGCCGGGCUCGGCUCGGAUCAGCUGUGUUUCCUCCUGUCUGCGUGGGCCAAUCAAACUACAGCAUCCUAAAGGGCGAGAGGCGGGUCACCCUGGACGGGUCGCAGGACCAACAACCAGGAGCACAAACCUGGGAGGAAACCGGAGGACCUGGAGAGAACCCACUGUGCAGAAAGACCCUGGGCCAGGAAUCGAACCCGGGACCUCGUGCAGCCCUCUUAUUAACAGUAAAACAUAAAAAAUGUCAGAAGAAAAGGAGCAUUUUGAACGUUUUAUUGCAUUUCAUUGCAACUUUGAACAAAAAUAACAUUAAUAUACUGUUUUUCAAGAGUUUAUUGUACAGUUUGUCCUUUUCUAAUUAUUUUGGGAUGAAAUGUUUCACUUUUCUGCAACCUUUGGUCGAGCCUUCAGCCUUUUGGACUCCAUUCUGUCUGUGGGGUGAAACUUCAGGCUGAAAUAUUAUUUUCCUCGUUGAUAAAAGGAUUUAAUUUCUCCUUUGAAAAGAGGAAAUAUGUUCUCACAUCUCAGAGUUGUAGAACAAUAUUAAUACAAAUGAUAGGACUGAUGUUAGACCAAUAAACAUUAAUAUGUAUUUAUGUGUAAUAUAUUUAUAUACUGUAUAUGUGUAUAUAUAUGUAUGUAGUGUGUGUGUGCGUGUGUGUGUGUGUGUAGCCCAUGACUUAAUAGUUUUGGCCUCUGUGGCAAAUCUGUGAAGUUUGUUAAAAAUAUCCUUCUGUAUAUUUUUUGCCAUCAUGAAAUAUUUUUUCAUACAUUUACCAAGAGAGACGGUUUUCAAACCUUCAUAUAUUUAAAGUCUGAAUUUAAUUCAGGACUAUGGCUGUUUAUGAAUUAUAAUUUAAGCUUUUUUUUAUACAGAGCAGUUGGUUUUUCUGUUUACCGGUUAUAAACUGAGUCCUCAAUAUAAAAAAGAAAAGCACAGUCGUGUAUUUAAACGAAAGUUUUUAUUCGGUUUCCUGUACAUUCAUGUACCAAACAGCAUCACAUUAAAGUCAUCGUGUUUGAAGAUGUUAAAGAAAUAAUCAGAUAUAUGCUGAUGAUUCGGGUCCCUAAAAGCAACAGCAGCUCAGGGAUCCAAACAAAGGAAUAAGAAGUGUGUCAAAGUGUUUAAUGGAGGCCGAUUUCUCUGCUAAAGUUGGAGCACAAAGCAAUAAAUAGAAGAAGUUGGUAGUUAUGUUAGAGGAUUCUCAGAAUGUUUCUAGUUGAUUAGUGGAGGAUUGGAAAAAUAACUCCGUUAGUUACAUUCUUUAGUCGACGUUCUGCACAAACUCCAUCCUGGACUGAACUGAGUUGAUUCAUCGUUUUAUUCCUUUGGAGAAACUGAACAUAUUUUUAUCUUGUUGUUGAAAUAAUA